UAAGCGGAGGAAAAGAAACCAACGGGGAUUGCCUUAGUAACGGCGAGUGAAGCGGCAAAAGCUCAAAUUUGAAAUCUGGUACCUUCGGUGCCCGAGUUGUAAUUUGGAGAGGGCAACUUUGGGGCCGUUCCUUGUCUAUGUUCCUUGGAACAGGACGUCAUAGAGGGUGAGAAUCCCGUGUGGCGAGGAGUGCGGUUCUUUGUAAAGUGCCUUCGAAGAGUCGAGUUGUUUGGGAAUGCAGCUCUAAGUGGGUGGUAAAUUCCAUCUAAAGCUAAAUAUUGGCGAGAGACCGAUAGCGAACAAGUACAGUGAUGGAAAGAUGAAAAGAACUUUGAAAAGAGAGUGAAAAAGUACGUGAAAUUGUUGAAAGGGAAGGGCAUUUGAUCAGACAUGGUGUUUUGUGCCCUCUGCUCCUUGUGGGUAGGGGAAUCUCGCAUUUCACUGGGCCAGCAUCAGUUUUGGUGGCAGGAUAAAUCCAUAGGAAUGUAGCUUGCCUCGGUAAGUAUUAUAGCCUGUGGGAAUACUGCCAGCUGGGACUGAGGACUGCGACGUAAGUCAAGGAUGCUGGCAUAAUGGUUAUAUGCCGCCCGUCUUGAAACACGGACC
rnacentral:rRNA from 1 species